ensembl:lncRNA
CAAACAUCUUCACUAUUUUUCCAGCCAUUUUUUAGAGCUCUUGAGACUGGUUGUGUUCUGAAGGAUGGGUACGCCAAAUUCCUUGGUAAAAAAACACGGGGACCUUGGGGUUUGAAAUGAUUCCUUUCAUCUCUCUGUGCCCUGCUGUGUCCCCUUCUCACCCCAUUCCCCUGCCUGUGCCUGUACCCUCAUCCCCCCAUCCCUGCAUGCCCUGGCCAGCUGGGGGGAGCAACAUCUCCCUCCCUGCACUGUGUGCCAGCAACUCUGCAAUUGAACAGGUAGAUGAAGAGCCUGGUUGGAAAGGAUACACACACCACAACGGUCAGCAGUACCGAAGAUUCUUCAGUCGCUGCAGUGCUGUCAAUGGGGAAACCAAAACGAGGAAGGCAGCAGGGAAGGCAGCCUUUCCAUGUAACUGUUUCUGUUUCACUGCUAAGGCCGGGAUUUGCUUCCCCUUCCGUUCUGCAUGCAGACUCCCAUUGCCUGACCUGGUGGUAGGUGUUUGGAGUAAAUAUUCCUUCAUUUGCCUCUGGCAAAUGCCAAUCAGUCUUGUCCAUCUCCUGCAGUGAGGUCUUUGCUUUGUGCUCGCUGCGGGUUGGGUUAGUCCAUAAUGGAGUGUGCUUUAUUAGGACUGAGGCUGAUGCUGGUUGAUUCCUGAGGUAAGCUCUCUCUCAUUUCUUGAGCAUUGGGUGGUGUUUGCAGCUGCUGUGAACUCAGUAAGGACAGAUAUGGGCAGUGUUCUCUAGGGCACUGGACCUUGAAGCUGCCCUCCUUCUGUCUGCAGCACAAGCCAGCAGAGAAUUACUGCCCCAGCAAAUGCAUGCUGGAGCCAGAGAGGCCGUGCCCGUGCCUUCUUGCAUGAUUUCUGGCACGGAGCAGCUAGCACAUUUCUUGUUCGGUGUUUGUAACUAAAGGCCCAGUCCUGAUCUAUGAAUUUUCAAAUAAUUUCUCAUCAGUAUCACGUACUUGCUAUAUUUCUUUUCCUCUCUGCUUGUUACUGAAGUGCCAUAGGCAUGAAAGUGAGGUCUUCCCUUUUUAAGAGUUCAUCCUUUUCUACCACUCACUGCUAAUUAGUUCUUUCUUCCCAUAAUUUUAAUAAAACUCUCUCAGUCCCAGGGAUGGUGGUAUCUACUUCUGGGUUCCUCAGCUCCUGUGGCGUACAGCACUAGUGCUGUGGGAGCCUUUUUGCGUAAGCGCAUAAAAGGGUGUCCUAUAACCUCCCCAGCAGUUGCAUUGAUGUUGGAAUAUGUGUGAAUUAUUUAAAAGGUAUAGAAGGGAGAGCUCACUGCAAAGGGGAGCCUCUGUUCCACAGUUAGGUGGCAGUCCCUAUCCCUGCAUCUGACAGCAGUCAGGGCUGCAACGUGUGAUCCUGCUUGUAUUUUGGCAAACCCUGUCCUUAGUGGCCUUGCAGGUGAGCUACAGAUCUGCUCCCCUUCCAGCCCAGGCUGGCACAGGCUGAGCCUGGCCCCAGUUCGUGCAGCAGGACCCCGAGGAUGCGGUUGUCAUGUUAAUUCAACACCAGCCUGGGGUUUACGAUCUUGGAUCUGUGUCCUUCACUGUCUCCUACUCCAGACUCCUUUCUAUCACAUCUCCUGCUCACGUUGCUGCUCACCCCUGCAUAACCCUUUUGCCACAUCUCUUGGAAUCACAAGAAGCUGGGAAUGGCUGAGUCUCCUAUUUGACUUGCAAGACACAACAGUAUGUAAAUUGAGGGAAUUAACUUUGGUUGCUUUUUUCUUUCUUUCUCUCUCUCUUUUUUUUUUUUUUUCCCACACUAGACUGCAGUAUGUAUAAUGUUGUAAUCCUUGUAUAAUAUCCUCACAGUUUUUAUAGCUCCCAGU